rnacentral:rRNA from 1 species
GAUGAACGCUGGCGGCGUGCCUAAUACAUGCAAGUCGAGCGAACAGAUGAGGAGCUUGCUCCUCUGACGUUAGCGGCGGACGGGUGAGUAACACGUGGAUAACCUACCUAUAAGACUGGGAUCACUUCGGGAAACCGGAGCUAAUACCGUAUAAUAUCUUGCACCGUAUGGUUCAAUAGUGAAAGACGGUUUUGCUGUCACUUCUAGAUGGAUCCGCGCCGCAUUAGCUAGUUGGUAAGGUAACGGCUUACCAAGGCAACGAUGCGUAGCCGACCUGAGAGAGUGAUCGGCCACACUGGAACUGGGACACGGUCCAGACUCCUACGAGAGGCAGCAGUAGGGAAUCUUCCGCAAUGGGCGAAAGCCUGACGGAGCAACGCCGCGUGAGUGAUGAAGGUCUUCGGAUCGUAAAACUCUGUUAUUAGGGAAGAACAAAUGUGUAAGUAACUAUGCACGUCUUGACGGUACCUAAUCAGAAAGCCACGGCUAACUACGUG